UACGUAGGGUGCAAGCGUUGUCCGGAAUUAUUGGGCGUAAAGAGCUCGUAGGCGGUCUGUUACGUCGGCUGUGAAAACCUGGGGCUCAACUCCGGGCCUGCAGCCGAUACGGGCAGACUAGAGUUCGGUCAGGGGAGACUGGAAUUCCUGGUGUAGCGGUGAAAUGCGCAGAUAUCAGGAGGAACACCGGUGGCGAAGGCGGGUCUCUGGGCCGAACUGACGCUGAGGAGCGAAAGCGGUGGGGAGCAAACAGG
rnacentral:rRNA from 1 species